UUGAGAAAUAGGAUGGUUGCUGUGUC
rnacentral:piRNA from 1 species